rnacentral:misc_RNA from 1 species
AAAAAUGAGAUUGUUGACUUGUCAUCAAUAACAAGGGAAAAUUUGAAGAGAUUGUUCAUGUACAUUGACAAGUUGCCUCUCAUCAUUCCAGACCCAAUAUAUGCCUCCUAUGAUCACCGUUACAGGUGAGGACUAUCUUGUGCAGAACUGGAAUUUUUUGUAUAUAAUAUCUAGUUGAUUGUAUAUGAUUAUUGUUUCUCCUUCGUUUGGAAGACAUUUUAGAAUUGUAAAUA